CAGGUGGUGCAUGGCUGUCGUCAGCUCGUGUCGUGAGAUGUUGGGUUAAGUCCCGCAACGAGCGCAACCCUUAUCUUAUGUUGCCAGCGCGUAAUGGCGGGGACUCGUGAGAGACUGCCGGGGUCAACUCGGAGGAAGGUGGGGACGACGUCAAGUCAUCAUGCCCCUUAUGUCCAGGGCUUCACACAUGCUACAAUGGCCGGUACAGAGGGCUGCGAUACCGUGAGGUGGAGCGAAUCCCUUAAAGCCGGUCUCAGUUCGGAUCGGGGUCUGCAACUCGACCCCGUGAAGUUGGAGUCGCUAGUAAUCGCAGAUCAGCAACGCUGCGGUGAAUACGUUCCCGGGCCUUGUACACACCGCCCGUCACGUCAUGAAAGUCGGUAACACCCGAAGCCGGUGGCCUAACCCUUGUGGAGGGAGCCGUCGAAGGUGGGAUCGGCGAUUGGGACG
rnacentral:rRNA from 1 species